GCUGGCGGCGUGCUUAACACAUGCAAGUCGAACGGACGAUGAAGAGCUUGCUUUUCAAAGUUAGUGGCGGACGGGUGAGUAACGCGUGGGUAACCUGCCUCAUACAGGGGGAUAGCAGCUGGAAACGGCUGAUAAAACCGCAUAAGCGCACAGCAUCGCAUGAUGCAGUGUGAAAAACUCCGGUGGUAUGAGAUGGACCCGCGUCUGAUUAGCUGGUUGGUGAGGUAACGGCCCACCAAGGCGACGAUCAGUAGCCGGCCUGAGAGGGUGACCGGCCACAUUGGGACUGAGACACGGCCCAAACUCCUACGGGAGGCAGCAGUGGGGAAUAUUGCACAAUGGGGGAAACCCUGAUGCAGCGACGCCGCGUGAAGGAAGAAGUAUCUCGGUAUGUAAACUUCUAUCAGCAGGGAAGAUAAUGACGGUACCUGACUAAGAAGCCCCGGCUAACUACGUGCCAGCAGCCGCGGUAAUACGUAGGGGGCAAGCGUUAUCCGGAUUUACUGGGUGUAAAGGGAGCGUAGGCGGCGGAGCAAGUCAGAAGUGAAAGCCCGGGGCUCAACCCCGGGACGGCUUUUGAAACUGCCCUGCUUGAUUUCAGGAGAGGUAAGCGGAAUUCCUAGUGUAGCGGUGAAAUGCGUAGAUAUUAGGAGGAACACCAGUGGCGAAGGCGGCUUACUGGACUGACAAUGACGCUGAGGCUCGAAAGCGUGGGGAGCA
rnacentral:rRNA from 1 species